UACGGAGGGUGCAAGCGUUAUCCGGAUUCACUGGGUUUAAAGGGUGCGUAGGCGGAUAGGUAAGUCCGUGGUGAGAUCCUGCAGCUUAACUGCAGAACUGCCGUGGAUACUAUCUAUCUUGAAUAUCGUGGAGGUUAGCGGAAUAUGUCAUGUAGCGGUGAAAUGCUUAGAUAUGACAUAGAACACCCAUUGCGAAGGCAGCUAACUACGCGAUCAUUGACGCUGAUGCACGAAAGCGUGGGGAUCAAACAGG
rnacentral:rRNA from 1 species